ACGGGGUGUCGAAGUCAAUGCCCAUGUCAGGAGGGCUGCUCGUGCUUCUUGUAACGUCUUGAAUGCUCAUAAUCCUUUUGCAAAUACUUGCUUGCUUGUAAGACAAGUCAAAGCAGAGCAAAUGAUGUUUCAGCUGAGAAAGAACUUGCAGUAGCUUGGAUAAAGUAGAGCAAAGAUAACUAUCUCUUAAUAAUAAGAAGAAGUUUUCAUUGAGAUUUGAUUAGAAAAUAUGCCCUCUUGAAACUUUUUUUUCUUUCCAAAAAGCCAAGUGACUUGAGAAAAAUUAAAUGAGCAGAGCAAUGGCUUUCUAGGUUUAUAAAUACUGAAUUUCUACUGAUCUCCAUUUAUAUUGAAACGUCUACAUAGAUCCCACACAAGAGAGAAAAGAUUAAUGAGUCCCAUGUAAUGCAGGACAAUGCAGGAUGAUGCAGGACAGAUGAAUGAAAAUCAUCCCAGGGGAGCAAAUGGUCUCUCCAGUCCUGCAAAUGAUGUGCUUCUGCUCUAUAGUUUGACUUUCCCCAAAUCUGAUUUCCAAACCGAAUUAGCCCACCCCUGAAAACAUAAUGCCAGCUUUCCAAUUGGCGGUUACAAAAGUGCCCCAGUCUGAGUACAUCUGAUGAGUGAGUGUCUAGGUUACAGAAACAGAGAUACCCUCUUUCCACCGUAAUGUUUGUGUUGAUAGGCUCUGUUUGGACGAUUAAUUUUCAGUGUCAUCAUUCAUGAAUUACAGGGAAUGAAAAACAGGAGGAAGGAAAGCAGUGAAAGAUGUGCUAAUAUUAUGAUGUUUUGCUAAUAUUUUCAAACCCUAAAUUCUCCUACCAAUCAGACCGUGUCAUUUAAAUUUAAGACUGUAAUAACACUGGCUUACAGGAAUAUUUUCACUUGUGUGACUUCACCCAUCCUUGAUGCCAGAGUUCAAAAGGGUGUGUAAAUAACAAGGGAGGGGGGACACAGUAUCACUGACCGACAGCAACAACAAGUAGCUCACAACUGUGAACACGUCUACGUUGAGAAUGAGGCAAAGCUUGUGAAAAAUAGUAAUGAAUACAAAAAUGACUUUAAAAGUAGGAUUCAGAGGAGGAGGGCGACUAGAGGCCCAAUCAUGGCAGAGACAGUGUAACCUUAACGAAUGUCACAGAGAAGGCAGAACUGCUGAUUGGUUCUGUUUCCAUCCUCUCAGUCAAGAAUCUCAACAUGGGAAAGGAAUGAGCACACAUUGCCAUUAUGAUGGAACUGAAGCCUUAAGUUGGCAAAGUGGUGAUGAGGAAAUUGAGGUUUAGGUGGCUAAAUAUAUUCUCCAAAGU